UACAGAGGUCUCAAGCGUUGUUCGGAUUCAUUGGGCGUAAAGGGUGCGUAGGUGGCGUCGUAAGUCAGGUGUGAAAUCUCGGAGCUUAACUCCGAAACUGCAUUUGAUACUGCGGUGCUUGAGGACUGGAGAGGAGACUGGAAUUUACGGUGUAGCGGUGAAAUGCGUAGAUAUCGUAAGGAAGACCAGUGGCGAAGGCGGGUCUCUGGACAGUUCCUGACGCUGAGGCACGAAGGCCGGGGAGCAAACAGG
rnacentral:rRNA from 1 species